GAGUUUGAUCAUGGCUCAGAUUGAACGCUGGCGGCAGGCCUAACACAUGCAAGUCGAGCGGUAGAGAGGUGCUUGCACCUCUUGAGAGCGGCGGACGGGUGAGUAAUGCCUAGGAAUCUGCCUGGUAGUGGGGGAUAACGCUCGGAAACGGACGCUAAUACCGCAUACGUCCUACGGGAGAAAGCAGGGGACCUUCGGGCCUUGCGCUAUCAGAUGAGCCUAGGUCGGAUUAGCUAGUUGGUGGGGUAAUGGCUCACCAAGGCGACGAUCCGUAACUGGUCUGAGAGGAUGAUCAGUCACACUGGAACUGAGACACGGUCCAGACUCCUACGGGAGGCAGCAGUGGGGAAUAUUGGACAAUGGGCGAAAGCCUGAUCCAGCCAUGCCGCGUGUGUGAAGAAGGUCUUCGGAUUGUAAAGCACUUUAAGUUGGGAGGAAGGGCAUUAACCUAAUACGUUGGUGUCUUGACGUUACCGACAGAAUAAGCACCGGCUAACUCUGUGCCAGCAGCCGCGGUAAUACAGAGGGUGCAAGCGUUAAUCGGAAUUACUGGGCGUAAAGCGCGCGUAGGUGGUUCGUUAAGUUGGAUGUGAAAUCCCCGGGCUCAACCUGGGAACUGCAUUCAAAACUGUCGAGCUAGAGUAUGGUAGAGGGUGGUGGAAUUUCCUGUGUAGCGGUGAAAUGCGUAGAUAUAGGAAGGAACACCAGUGGCGAAGGCGACCACCUGGACUGAUACUGACACUGAGGUGCGAAAGCGUGNGGAGCAAACAGGAUUAGAUACCCUGGUAGUCCACGCCGUAAACGAUGUCAACUAGCCGUUGGGAGCCUUGAG
rnacentral:rRNA from 1 species